ACUCAGGAACAGUGAGAUCAUGACCUGAGCCAAAUUUGGACACUUCACCGACUGAGCCACCCAGGCAUCCCUGAGAUUUCCUUUUCUAACGAGUGUCCAGGUAAUUUGAUAUGAUGGAUCCUCCUGCUAGACUUUGAGAACCACUGCUCUACGUAAAGGGCAUUACUUGUGCCUUUUAGGGUUCACCUGGAAUCUGAACGGGGCUCCAGUGGGGAACAAAGGCUUGUCCCCUCUCCUGUGUGGAGGCUCUGAGGUUCUCGCAUAUUGAGAGAGAGGGUCUUACCCCACCCUCCCGUCAAGGAACUUGAUUGACCGAAUCCGUGUCCCUGGCACCCGGCCCAGCAACUGGCACGGAGUCAGCGCCCUGUGAAUGUGCAGGGAAGGACAGACAGGUGGGAGCUCAGCCCCAACCCCCAGGCUGGACCCACAGCUAGAAGGAGGAGAAGGUUCUUUAAGAGAGACAGAGUGCAAGCGGGGAAGGUGCAGAGCGAGAGGGAGACACAGAAUCCGAAG